rnacentral:rRNA from 1 species
AGCGAACGCUGGCGGCAGGCCUAACACAUGCAAGUCGAACGAACCUUUCGGGGUUAGUGGCGGACGGGUGAGUAACACGUGGGAACGUGCCUUUUGGUUCGGAAUAACUCAGGGAAACUUGUGCUAAUACCGAAUGUGCCCUUCGGGGGAAAGAUUUAUCGCCUUUAGAGCGGCCCGCGUCUGAUUAGCUAGUUGGUUGAGGUAAUGGCUCACCAAGGCGACGAUCAGUAGCUGGUCUGAGAGGAUGAUCAGCCACAUUGGGACUGAGACACGGCCCAAACUCCUACGGGAGGCAGCAGUGGGGAAUCUUGCGCAAUGGGCGAAAGCCUGACGCAGCCAUGCCGCGUGAAUGAUGAAGGUCUUAGGAUUGUAAAAUUCUUUCACCGGGGACGAUAAUGACGGUACCCGGAGAAGAAGCCCCGGCUAACUUCGUG